rnacentral:rRNA from 1 species
AAUAACAAUGAUUCCCCCAGUAACGGCGAGUGAAGAGGGAAGAGCCCAAAUUUGGAAUCUGGCGUCUUUCAGGCGUCCGAGUUGUAAUCUGGAGAGGCCAUAUUCGUGUCGGACCAUAGCAAAGUCUGCUAUUAUGCAGCGCCAGAGAGGGUGUUAGCCCCGUUUGUACUAUGGAUCCCCGAUGCUUAGAGUAGGUCUUCAAAGAGUCGAGUUGUUUGGGAAUGCAGCUCUAAGAGGGUGGUAAAUUCCAUCUAAGGCUAAAUAACGGCGAGAGACCGAUAGCGCACAAGUACCGUGAGGGACAGAUGAAAAGCACUUUGGAAAGAGGGUGAAAAAGUACGUGAAAUCACUGAAAGGGAAGCGCUUGAGGUUAGACGUGCAUUGUAUGAUUCAGCCAAUCUUCGGAGAGGUGUAUUUCGUACUAUUGCAGGCCAGCGUCAGUUUUGCGUGCUGGAUAAGGGUAUUGGGAAUGUAGCAGUAGCUUCGGUUGCUGUGUUAUAGACCUUUACUGGAUACAGCAUGCGGGACUGAGGAACGCAGCGUGCCUUUAUGGCCAAUCCUGAGGGAUUGUGUACGCUUAGGAUGCUGGCAUUAAUAGCCUUAAACGACCCGUCUUGAAACACGGACCAAGGAGUCUAACAUGCUUGCAAGUAUGUGGGUGUCAAGCCCUUGUGCGUAAUGAAAGUAAACGUAGGUGGGAGCCUUUUAACCGGGGUGCACCAUCGACCGGCUCAAAGCUACGUGCGAAGAGUCUGAGUAGGAGCAAGUAUGUCGGGACCCGAAAGAUGGUGAACUAUGCCUGAAUAGGGUGAAGCCAGAGGAAA